CCAAUAGCGUAUAUUAAAGUUGUUGCAGUUAAAAAGCUCGUAGUUGAAUUUCGGGACCAAUCUGCCGGUCGUGCCUCCGGUACGCACUGGUUUUAUUGGUUUCUCCCUUCUGACGAACCAUGAUGUCAUUAAUUUGGUGUCAUGGGGAAUCAGGACUGUUACUUUGAAAAAAUUAGAGUGUUUAUAGCAGGCUCACGCUUGAAUACAUUAGCAUGGAAUAAUGAAAUAGGACGUUUGACCCUAUUUUGUUGGUUUCUAGGAUCGACGUAAUGAUUAAUAGGGAUAGUUGGGGGCAUUAGUAUUCAAUUGUCAGAGGUGAAAUUCUUGGAUUUAUUGAAGACUAACUACUGCGAAAGCAUUUGCCAAGGAUGUUUUCAUUAAUCAAGAACGAAAGUUAGGGGAUCGAAGACGAUCAGAUACCGUCGUAGUCUUAACCAUAAACUAUGCCGACUAGGAAUCAGACGAUGUUAAUUUUUUAAUGACUCGUUUGGCACCUUACG
rnacentral:misc_RNA from 1 species